rnacentral:tRNA from 1 species
CCUGAUGGCUCAGAUGGUAAAGAACCUGCCUGCAGUGCAGGGGACCCAGGUUCAAUCCCUGGGUCAGGA